ACACUAAGAGCACAAGCUGAGAAGCCAAAGAUAUGACUUCCUUCAGUCAGAUCAACUUCAAAGUAUAACAAACAAAAUGGGACAAACUCUAUGGGCAUUAAAAAAAAAAAACAAAACUUAGAUAUCAAUUCCAGAACAAGAUUUGUUUAAUAAUAUGUAUGCAACAGUUUCUCAUGAGAAACACAAAGUUAACUUUCUCUGUAUAAUGAUUCAUGAGUAAAUUUGGGUUUGUUGGCAGACUUGCAUUGAAGAAAGUAACUUGCACCAAAUGAGAAAAGGAUAUUUUAAGAAUGUUUGCAAGUUGUCUGUUGUACCAGAACCCAGAGCAGUUUCUGCUAGGAUGUUAUUUUUAAACUGUUGCAUUUGUAACAUACAGGCCAUAUGACUCAUCAAAACUUAAAAGAAAAUAAAAUCUUGUUUCUGUGUUCACUUUAAAGAUAUUGGUCUAACUUGGCAAGCAGAAGUUAUCUGAAAGCACCAGAAGGACAGCAUUGUUUCAAGACUAUGCAAAUCAAGUGUGGGAAAGUUGCACCUUAAGUAAAUAAGAGCACUAGUGCAUGUCUGGGCAGUGAGUGGGAGGACAGAAUGGACUUCAAAGCACAGCAGCAGAAUUCUACAUUCAUCAGAGCCUACUGACAAGAUUUCAUCCCAGCUAUUAACCUCUCAGCACUCCAAGCCUGGCUCACAAUGAUCCUGCCUACUUGUCUACAGUUUUGAGAACCAAAGCGCUUGCUCCACAGCCACAGAAGAGUGUCUAUAUAUGAAGUCCAGCCUUUGACACGAUGCUGCAGCCACAGCUGAGCAUGUGUGGAAUUGCCUACUGCAUGUUGAAGAGAGAAGACACUGAACUAGCAUAGCAGCAACCAAAAGAAAAGAAAAAAAAAAAAAAACAACAAAAAAGAACCACCACUCUCAAGAACUGCUUCAAAAGAAUUUUACUUUGAGAAAAGUAGUCUUGAUUUCCCUGCCCCCAAUCAUCCUGAAAGCAAGAAGUGUUGCUAAGAUUACUGUGCUCUGCCUUGACAGCACAAUCUCUAGGGACUUUGCUUUUCAGCACCCCCUUUGAAAGCUUUGUCUGCAUGAGGGCCAUCGCAGCUCCCACAAGUAUCAGGUAACUGAGGGAAGAACUGAUGGAUGUGGGAAAGGGGGUGGGCUAAGAGAGAUGCAUUGUAAAACAAAGGCUAAAAUCGAGCUAUUUGGAAGAGCAGGGAAAGGGAAGACGCACUAUCCACCCCGUGUCACAUUUACAGACAGACUAACCUGCCAAUGAGCUCUCUAGCACUCCAGUAAUAAUAAUCAUCAGCAUAAACUAAUCAAGAGUGACUCCAUGGGUUGGACAGAUGCCAGCUAUUUCAUCUGAGCCACCUUAUCUUCAAUCCUAACUUGAGAACAAGAGCCAUUAAGAUGUAUUCCCUUCCCCCUCCCUACUCUGGGAUAUUAUUAACUUAGCUGUAUCUUCCAAAAUUGCCAGGCACAGCUAAACUUAGAGAAGGAUUCAAGAAAGCAUUCAAAAUGAAAAAAAGCCAAAGAAAAAUAAAAAAAAAAACCCAACACCCUCUGAUUUGAUAAGUACAUUAAGAACUACAAAUGAAGUAAUAAACGUAACAUCUUUCUGGUGAGAACAAUUACAGAACAAAUAUAAACUCUCUCCAUGAAGAGCUUUGAUACUUUGCCAUAGAAGCUGUGUACCGUAAGGUUUAUUUCUUCUUAAUUAUAUAUGCACUCAGUAGCGGCCUGCAGCCCUUAACAUCUUUUCUGUACCAGAAACCAAAAUAAAGUUGAGAAUAAGCUGCUACAAGGUGCAGCUUUAAGGCAGACCUCGAAUUCCUUGAGAA